rnacentral:rRNA from 1 species
UGGGGAAUAUUGGACAAUGGGGGCAACCCUGAUCCAGCAAUGCCGCGUGUGUGAAGAAGGUCUUCGGAUUGUAAAGCACUUUCGACGGGGACGAUGAUGACGGUACCCGUAGAAGAAGCCCCGGCUAACUUCGUGCCAGCAGCCGCGGUAAUACGAAGGGGGCUAGCGUUGCUCGGAAUGACUGGGCGUAAAGGGCGUGUAGGCGGUUUACACAGUCAGAUGUGAAAUCCCCGGGCUUAACCUGGGAGCUGCAUUUGAUACGUGUAGACUAGAGUGUGAGAGAGGGUUUGUGGAAUUCCCAGUGUAGAGGUGAAAUUCGUAGAUAUUGGGAAGAACACCGGUGGCGAAGGCGGCAACCUGGCUCAUGACUGACGCUGAGGCGCGAAAGCGUGGGGAGCAAACAGGUUAGAUACCCUGGUAGUCCACGCCUGUAAACGAUGUGUGCUAGAUGUUGGGUAACUUUGGUUAUUCAGUGUCGCAGU